rnacentral:tRNA from 2 species
GACCCCGUCGUCUAGCCAGGCUAGGACUCAGGCCUUUCGAGCCUGUAGCACGGGUUCAAAUCCCGUCGGGGUCG